GCGGACGUGGCGGAAUUGGUAGACGCAAGGGACUUAAAAUCCCUCAGCUACGGCUAUCCGGGUUCGAUUCCCGGCGUCCGCACCA
rnacentral:tRNA from 10 species